UACGUAGGGGGCAAGCGUUAUCCGGAUUUACUGGGUGUAAAGGGAGCGCAGACGGCAGUGCAAGUCUGGAGUGAAAGCCCGGGGCCCAACCCCGGAACUGCUCUGGAAACUGUGCGGCUAGAGUACUGGAGGGGCAGGCGGAAUUUCUAGUGUAGCGGUGAAAUGCGUAGAUAUUAGGAGGAACACCAGUGGCGAAGGCGGCCUGCUGGACAGUAACUGACGUUGAGGCUCGAAAGCGUGGGGAGCAAACAGG
rnacentral:rRNA from 1 species